rnacentral:rRNA from 1 species
GGAGGGUGCAAGCGUUAUCCGGAUUCACUGGGGUUUAAAGGGGUGCGUAGGCGGGUAUUUAAGUCAGUGGUGAAAUCCUAGAGCUUAACUCUAGAACUGCCAUUGAUACUAUUUAUCUUGAAUAUUGUGGAGGUAAGCGGAAUAUGUCAUGUAGCGGUGAAAUGCUUAGAUAUGACAUAGAACACCUAUUGCGAAGGCAGCUUACUACGCAUAUAUUGACGCUGAGGCACGAAAGCGUGGGGAUCAAACAGGAUUAGAUACCCUGGUAGUCCACGCCCUAAACGAUGGAUACUCGACAUACGCGAUACACUGUGUGUGUCUGAGCGAAAGCAUUAAGUAUCCCACCUGGGAAGUACGACCGCAAAGGUUG